UCGACGAACUUCUUUAUCACCGAGUGCUUGCACUCACCGAUAAAGAGUUGAGUGGCGAACGGGUGAGUAACACGUGGGCAACCUGCCCAAAAGAGGGGGAUAACACUUGGAAACAGGUGUUAAUACCGCAUAACCAUAGUUGCCGCAUGGUAACUAUGUAAAAGGUGGCUAUGCUACCGCUUUUGGAUGGGCCCGCGGCGCAUUAGCUAGUUGGUGGGGUAAAGGCUUACCAAGGCAAUGAUGCGUAGCCGAACUGAGAGGUUGAUCGGCCACAUUGGGACUGAGACACGGCCCAAACUCCUACGGGAGGCAGCAGUAGGGAAUCUUCCACAAUGGGCGAAAGCCUGAUGGAGCAACGCCGCGUGGGUGAAGAAGGUCUUCGGAUCGUAAAACCCUGUUGUUAGAGAAGAAAGUGCGUGAGAGUAACUGUUCACGUUUCGACGGUAUCUAACCAGAAAGCCACGGCUAACUACGUGCCAGCAGCCGCGGUAAUACGUAGGUGGCAAGCGUUAUCCGGAUUUAUUGGGCGUAAAGGGAACGCAGGCGGUCUUUUAAGUCUGAUGUGAAAGCCUUCGGCUUAACCGGAGUAGUGCAUUGGAAACUGGGAGACUUGAGUGCACGAGAGGAGAGUGGAACUCCAUGUGUAGCGGUGAAAUGCGUAGAUAUAUGGAAGAACACCAGUGGCGAAAGCGGCUCUCUGGUCUGUA
rnacentral:rRNA from 1 species